AAGCAUGUAGCUCAGUGGAUAGAGCGCCAGUCUCCGAUACUGGGUGACAAGGGUUCGAUUCCCUUCAUGCUUA
rnacentral:tRNA from 1 species